GACGAACGCUGGCGGCGUGCUUAACACAUGCAAGUCGAACGGAAAGGCCCUUCGGGGUACUCGAGUGGCGAACGGGUGAGUAACACGUGGGUGAUCUGCCCUGCACUUUGGGAUAAGCCUGGGAAACUGGGUCUAAUACCGAAUAGGACCACGCGCUUCAUGGUGUGCGGUGGAAAGCUUUUGCGGUGUGGGAUGGGCCCGCGGCCUAUCAGCUUGUUGGUGGGGUAAUGGCCUACCAAGGCGACGACGGGUAGCCGGCCUGAGAGGGUGACCGGCCACACUGGGACUGAGAUACGGCCCAGACUCCUACGGGAGGCAGCAGUGGGGAAUAUUGCACAAUGGGCGCAAGCCUGAUGCAGCGACGCCGCGUGAGGGAUGACGGCCUUCGGGUUGUAAACCUCUUUCACCAGGGACGAAGCGUAAGUGACGGUACCUGGAGAAGAAGCACCGGCCAACUACGU
rnacentral:rRNA from 1 species